UACUAUAUUAAGCGGCACUCCCAUGGCGUAAUCUCUGUGCUUUCCAUCCUUCCGAGGUCGCUAACCCUAGGUACAGACACGUAGACAUGGGGGGCAAAGGUAGGAACCGUAAUACGAAACACGAACCAAUGGGCAAGAAAAACAAGAAGAAGGCGCCCCCCGCCGCCGCCGCCGCCGCCGCCGCCGGCACUGCUGGUGCAGCGUCGUCCAAGGCCGACGAACCAAAGGUGGAGUCUGAAGCGGCGGCCAGCGGAGAUGGGAUCCCGCCGCCGACCAACGGCGACCAGCAGCCAAGGCCGACUUCACCUCAGGCGCCCAAAGGCGACCAGUUGCCGCCGGAUUCCGCGGCGGCGCCCAACGGAAAAGAGGUCCCGCCGCAACCUCCUUCGGUUCAGGCGGCCGGUGGCGGCGACCCGAUCGUCGAUUCUGGAGCGGCGGGCGGCGGAGAUGGGAUUCCGCCGCCAAUGCCCACUUCCGUUGAUCCGGCCAACGGGGACGGGGAUGCGCCUCCAUCGCUUGAGCCGGCCAAUGACGACGAGUUGCCGCUGGGUUCUGCGGGAGCGGCCAACGAGGACGGACCGCUGCCGCCGCCUCCGUUUCCGGUCGAGCCGCCCGCGCCCAUCAACGGCAACACGCCGGUCGAUUCUGCGGCGGAGGCCAAGGGAGACGUGAUUCCGCCGCCUAUGGAUUCUCCGGCGGUUCAAAAGGCGGACAAUGUCGGCGAGCUCAAGGCGGAGAGGGGCCUGAACGACAAGGCGCCGGAGGUGAUGCCGGACUCGUCGUCGCAACCUGACCGUCAGGCGGAGAAACUCAAGGCGCUCAACAGCAAGCUCGUCAAGGAGGCGGUGGAGACGCGGGGCCAGGUGGCCGCGCUCGCCGCGCAGGUCGACGAGCGCUCCGCCGACGCCGCCGCUCUUGCCGACCUGGAACAACAUGUUCUCCAGGCCGGCCUUAUUUUCCCCUUCGUCGCCGCCGGAGAAUACUGCACGGCGCUGCGCGGUCACCUCGUCGACGCCCAGGAACCGCUUCAGGCCGCGAAAUCCAGGGCUGCUCGCGAGGCGGAUGCCAAGGAGGAUGCCGCGGCGCGCCUCGAGGUGGCCGAAGCGGAGAAUCUUCGAUUCGUGGAGCUCCUCGGGAGGAAGGAUGCAGAGGCGGCAUCCGCGUCCAAGAAUGUCGCGGGAAUGGAGGCCGUAGUUUCUGAAUUGGCGGGUAAUAGUACUGAGCUCUGUGCACGGAAAGGCGAUUUCGAGAAGCAAUUGGGGGAGAUGAGCGCCUCUGCUCGCAGCGUCCUUGCUGAGAAGGCAGAGUUGGAGACAAGCUUGGACGAUUACAAGAUGAAAGCUAAGAUGUAUCAGCAGGAAAUCCAGGAGAAGCUUGAUGACAAAUCAAAGCAAUUGGAGGCUCUGAGUUCCAGCAAGGCAGAAAUGGAGGACAAGUUCCAGUCUCUGGAGGCAGAGCUCUCUGCAGCCCUGGCUAAGAACUGGGAACUGGAGUCGGAGGUGAAGACCAGCAUGACAGAGUUAGCUGAAGCAAACAGAAAUCUGGAGAAGCUCCGAUUUGAGGUUGCAGAUGUCGGUAAAAAGUACACCACAAUGAUGGCUGAGGCGGAUCGUCUUCGGAAGGAGAUGGCCAAGAUGAUGGCGACAAAGGAUGCGGCUGCGGCUGCAUUUGCUACUGAGAAGACGCAGCUGCACAAGGAAUUAGAUGGACUGAAGAGGAAGGUUGAGUCGAUUAGAGCCAACAAGGAUGCUGCCAUGACUUCUUGCCGUCAGAAAGAUGCCGAGGCUGCAAAGCUGAAAUCCCAGCUGAAUGGGCUGAGUGACUCCCUUGCUGAACAACGUGUUCUCUGUGAUGAUCUCAGGGCCAAGUCCUCUAGACUCCAAGAUGAGCUGGACACGGUUAAGAAAGCACUUGGCGAGGAGAGAGCCCAAGGAGAUGAGCUCAGGUCGACGCUUGGGGAGCUCGAGAGCAACAGUGACGACAAGGCGCGCCAGGUUGAGGAGCUGAAGACCGAAGUUCAGAAUAAGCGUGGACAGAUCUAUGCCUUGAAUGGAGAGGUUAAGAAGCUGCAGCUAGCAGUCGCUGAUGCAGAGGAGAGGGGGAAGAGCGGCAAGGUGUGGACAUGGCUGUGCCCUACCACGACUGUCAUCGCCGCCGCGUCCUUUGCCUACGCUGCUCGUAGAGGGUGAACAGAAAACUCUUUUACCCAUGUUUUGUUCGCUCCCUGUUCCUAGUCACUUGAGAUGAUAACCAGAAUUACAGAAGAAAAUUACUGAAUCGUGUAGGAGGAGUAAAGACACCAUGUGUAUUUGAUCUCUGCUUUUGGACACGAAGGGAUUGGAUUAUGAACUUCAGCAGUUCCUCCUUGGGCCCCAUUGCACACAUGCCUUACUUUGUACACUGAUACCAACCACUGUCAAUAUGACAAUAUGGUUUUCAGUUCUUUCAAUAGUUUGUAGGCUUGUAGCUCGACUGGAAAUAUGGCCUGUAGCUCACUAGUUAUUUGAUCAACCAUUAGAUGAUAACCAAAUUGCUGCUGUGAAGUAAUAGAAGGAAUGCUUCACCUUUAAUCUGUAAA